UAUUUUUCUAUCUUCUAGUGUGUCUGAAACAAAUGUCUUUGAAUUGUCUCUUCAUCUUCUUCAUCGCAUUUACAAUAAUUUCAGUUUGGUUUCGAUUAUUGUUUUGGGUGUCACUGAUUAUAUUCAUAAGCAUUUGGUUGUCUGAUUCAAAUUCCACCCGCUUCAGUCCGAGCUUGAUCACAACUUCCAUAACAAUUGUUAAGGCUUUUGCUUCCGCUGCUAGAGCGUCGUCAUUCCCAUGCAUCUUCAUAGAGCUUUUCAUGAUUCAAGAACCAUCACGGUUGCGGAUAACCACUCAAAUUCCCCAGGAUCCUUCUUCUUUUAGACAAGUAUCCGAGUUCCCCUUUGUCCAACCAAUUUUAGGAGAAGCAUUGCUCUUGUUGUCUUCAUGGGUGAGGUUCAUUAGGUAACUCUUGUUUCUUUUUUAAUACUAUUGUUCAUAGGAAUAUCCUUAUGCAUGCUUGAUUUUUGACCUUCUCUUUUCUUUUACAUGUUAACUUUGUUGCCGCUCUUCUGAUGUCUGGAGUUAUGUUGAGGGGAACUUUUGUUCCUGUUCUUGUGAGUACAUUUCUUCUUGUAGUCUUCGUGAGUGAAUUUCACCAGUUUGGACCUAGAAGGAUCACUACUAAUGUUAUCCUUUAAUUGGUUCAUUUCUUAUUUAGCCUUGGGUUCCUCCAUAUUAUUCUAGCCUUUCUGAUUGUCCCGGGAGUUCGUCGCUUUGAAGUCAAUGAAGCUCUUGUUGGCUAACUAGGUAACCUCCAUACUUUGAAGGUUUGACAUGCACCGUUUUUUAGUUGCUCUCUGAACUUGUGCCUAUGUACUCCAUAAAGAAGGCAUUAACUAAACCGAUUAGGGGACAUAGAAAAGAGAAAAGGACCUAUCAAAAUUCCAACGAGAUGGGAAAAAGAAAGUGUGAAACAAAAAACAGGGAAAAGAAAGAACACAAAGAAAGAAGACCAAAAAACAAAGAAAAAAAUAUAAAGAUAAUGAUAAGGGAACACAUAAUAACCAACAGAAAGAAGGAAUCACAAAAACACAGGAAAAACACAACAACACCUACAUAGGGGGACACACACAAGAUGGGAGGAGAUUUGUGGUUAUUGUUGGUAUAAGCUCUAUAGACCAAUAACUUUAUUAGAAUUAGGUACUUGUAUCAAAUUAUCUAUUAAUAAUAAUAAUAAGACAUUUAUUUGUUAUGUUUGUUUUUCUAAAAUAAUAAAGUCCCUAGAAUAGGUAGUCCGUUUAAUGAAACAUUAAAUGUGACUUAAUCAUGAGAUUCCAUUAAACAUAAGGAUACUAUUCUUAAAAUAUCUAUAGUAGAGCUUUAUUGUGAAAUGAGAUGAUAUUAAAGCAUUGAGACUAUUAUAUAGAUAGACUGAUGAUCACAUCUCAAGAGUCAUGGAUAAAGAGUUAUCAAAUCUUCACAUAAAUAUAAAUAAGGGUGGGAAGAAGUCAGUUCGAGCUGAGCUUUACUUAAAUAAAUUAGGCAUAAUGAAAAAAAGUAAGGCCUAAUCCUGACCUAUUACCUGUCAAAGGAUUUAUUUUGAAUAUGAAUUGACCUUUUUUAAAGCUUACUUGACCUUUUUAAAAACUUACUUGACCUAUUAGUCUGUUUAAAAGCCUACUUUUUAGAUUCUGUAAAUCCAAUUUUUUUAUGUUAAUAAAGUUUUUUAGAGCCUCUACAUCUUUUUUCCCACUUUUUGCAUCAUACUAAAUGUAA